AGUGGGGGAAGUGUGUGUUCUAUUGUAGACUUUCAGAUUGAGAACUUGGCCAUAAAACACAAAAUCAGUGAUGACAUCCUGUAAUGGGGUAAGAAGUUGGGCCCUUACUUUGCCGUGUGGAAACAUAAGCCCAACCUCCGGGACACCCUGUGGAACCAAUACCUCCACCUAUGGGAUCAUUACCUCAGCCUGUGGAACCAAUAACUCCACCUAUGGGAUCAUUGCCUCAGCCUGUGGAACCAUUACCUCGGCCUGUGGAAACAAAUACCUCAGACUAUGGGAUCAUUACCUCAGCCUGUGGAACCCAAUUACCUCGGUCUGUGGGACCAUUACCUCAGCAUGUGGGAGGUUCCCCUUUCCUUUGCAUAUGGGACAUAACCUGGCCUGAAGGACCAUUACAUCUGCCUCUGAGACCCCUGUGGAACCAAUAUCUCAGCCUGUGUAAUCCCUAAGGAAUCCUUACCUUGGCCUGUAGGGCCCUUACCUCAGCAUUACCUUGGCCUGUGGGACCAAUACCUCCACCUAUGAAACCAUUACCUCAGUCUGUGGGACAUUUACUUUCGCCUGUGGAACCCUUAUCUUGGCCUGUUGGAAUCUCUGUGGAACCCUGUGAGACAAUUACCUUGGCCUGUGGGACUCUUACCUCAGCUUGUGGGAGACUCUCAAACAGACAGUACAGGUGCAUGGUAACGACUAUAUACACUGAGAGAUGAAACAUGGCACAAUGUUCGGACUGUGGCUGCACACAUCCACGGCAAUCCAAAUACCCCCCCGAUGAAGAUGAAGAUGAGCGAGAUGACGAUGGUAAAUAUUUCUUCGGUGAAGCGAGUGAUGUUUUUGACGAGGAAGCUGCCUUCUAAUCCAAUCACAACAAAGGUUAUAAUCAUCACCCAGAAUCCAAUCCAAAACCGCAUUGGUAGAAACUCAAUGUCGUAACUGGUACAGAACUACAAUGAGGACACAGAAUCAGUCUGUUUACAGAUGGCUUCACUGACAAUGCAGCUCUGUCUACAGAUGGCUUCACUGACAAUGCAGGUCUGUUUACAGAUGGCUUCACUGACAAUGCAGGUCUGUUUACAGAUGGCUUCACUGACAAUGCAGCUCUGUUUACAGGUGGCUUCACUGACAAUGCAGGUCUGUUUACAGGUGGCUUCACUGACAAUGCAGCUCUGUUUACAGAUGGUUUCACUGACAAUGCAGCUCUGUCUACAGAUGGCUUCACUGACAAUGCAGGUCUCUCUACAGAUGGCUUCACUGACAAUGCAGCUCUGUCUACAGAUGACUCCACUGACCUAUUUUCUCCUCCUCCUUGUGUUUCUUCCUGCGCAUGGCCCGGGCUUUCUUCCUGGCCAUGUCCAUGAUGGGGAGCAGAGUCUUCUGGUCCCAGUCACCAGGAGGCAGCACUAUUGACUCAUCCAAGAACUCAUUGAUCGCGUGAAGCAGCUCGUCUCUGCUGAUCGCCUUGUAUGCAAUGUCGUGGAAAUGCUGCAAACACAAGAUUUACAGCUAUAGCACAAUCUGGUAUACUUAAGUAUAGACAGACCAUACUUUACCUGGUUAGCCAUCAGAGUGGAGAUAGAUCGCCCAACUUCGUGAUAGUCCAUGGCAUUCUCUGGACCGAGGAGAAUGAACAGGAAACGAACAGGAAGUGGAACUUCCGUCAGAUUGUCCAAAACUUGGCCCUCGGCCAGGCGGACGAAUGCCAUGGCGGGUUUUUCCAGGUAGUCCACACAGCCGACCAGUACGGUAAGGGCCUCCGCGUCCUUGGGGAUCCGCUUCAUGAUGUCCUGAAUGUUCUUCUGCCUGCUCUCAUUGGUCGUGAUCCCAAUGUGGACCCCGUCGGCAUGCUAAAAAAAUUAAUUCAUCAUCAAAAUCAUUAGAAUCAUCAUUUAAUCAUCAUCAUCAAAAUCAUCGUUGUACAUAGAAUAGAUAAAAUGCUUAUUACAUCUUUAAAAAGUACAUUUUAGCAAAGUUUGAAGUAUUUACCAAGUUAUUAUCGACAUCAACUUUGACAAAUUCUAGAUUUUUAACUUCGUUGUCCUUGGCUUUCUGGGCAGCUUCUUUCUCCUUCUUUGCUAAGUUCUCUGACGUAGGACUGUCCAGCAUUUUCUCCAGUGAGGUAGAGGAACGGAAACUGGUGGACGAUGUGAGGGAACGCCUCAAAGACUUCUCCUUCUGAUGUCUGCAAACGAGGCACACUGAGUUGUAGACCAUGAAAGUACCAUCCCAAGAAUAAUUUUAAUGUGUUAAUAAAUUGUGUUAAGAGCUUGAUGUAAGUGAUUUAUUAAUUGUAAGCAUACAUUACAUGUUCUUUGUUUAUACAUUAUAAAAAAUAUACAGUAAAUAAAUAUUUAUUUUUGCUUUG
rnacentral:sRNA from 1 species